rnacentral:rRNA from 1 species
CAAUAGCGUAUAUUAAAGUUGUUGCGGUUAAAAAGCUCGUAGUUGGAUUUCUGUUGAGAGCAGCGCGUCUACCUUUUGGGUAAGUAUGUUGCUUGGUCUCGGCAUCUUCGUGGAAAACGUUUCUGCGCUUGAUUGCGUGGGGGCGGGUCAGUCGACUUUACUUUGAGGAAUUUAGAAUGUGUUCACGGCUAGGCGAUACGGCCUUGCAAUUAUAUUAUGCAUGGAAUAAUAACAUAGGGCUUACGGCCUAUUUUGUUGGUUUCUAGGCUGCAGGCAAUGAUUAAUAGGGACAAUUGGGGGCAUUCGUAUUAACGCGUCAGAGGUGAAAUUCUUGGAUUGCGUUACGACGAACUACUGCGAAAGCAUUUGCCAAGGAUGUUUUCAUUGAUCAAGAACGAAAGUAAGGGGAUCGAAGACGAUCAGAU